AUGUGGUAGGCACGCGCGCUGAGCAGCGCUUCCGGCGGAACUCUUUCUGCCAAACACAGCGGGCGUGACUACGCAUGAGCUGCAGAACCACUCUCUGUUCGAACGAACAUAACUUUCUCGAGAGGUCGUCUAAAGUUGGGCAAAUUUUUUAAAAACUUACUCGACAUAUUUGUCGUUUCAAUUCCAUUCCAUUUUUUUUUUGACCGUGCGGUAUUCACCGAAAUUUAUUCGGCAAAAACUUCGGUCGUCAAAAACCACUUUGCAGAUUUUAAGAUUUUUUCAGCAUGCCUCCAAAGAAACCUGGGGCAAUGGUUGAAUUCAUUGCUGAGAAAUAUGGCAACAUCCCAGAUGCUCCACCAUUGAGGAAUGGGCAUGUGCUAAACAUUUUCUUCCAGCAAAAGCGUAAAGUUACGCAGACCAUCCAGGAAAUAUCCAAGAUCUUAGGAUCAAAUGUCGUAGUGAAACCAUGGCAGAUUAAUUAUUUGCUGAAAAAAACAAUAAGAAAAUACCCACAUUUCACACGUGAAAGUGAUAAGCAGCAUUUUCAUGAUGUGUGUGACCAAGAAUUUACUUGCCACACCUCAGCUCAGCCUUCACCUGAGGCCCCAUCAGUUUCUGAUAAAUUUAAAUUGUCUCAUCCAUCUACAUCUCAAUAAUAGAAGAAAAGUUAUGUUUAUGCGAUCAUUUGGAAAUAAAUAUAGAUUUGACAGAAGA